CUAAUCCUAUGCUUCUAGAACAUGCAUGACAAAAAAUAGUUUCCUUCAAAGAAAAAACAUGGCAAAAUCCUGGUGUUUUUUGUAACAUUUGGUGCUACUAUUCUUGGUUGAUGGAUCCUUGAGAAAAGCAAUCUAGACUGAACCUUGGGUGGCAUACAAGACAAGAUGUGAUCGGUGCUCUAUUUAUGUGGUGAGGACAUGUGUGCGAUGAAACGCGAGGAGGACAAAAAAAAAAUACAUGAGAGUUGGAAGCUUACACAUGGAUGUUAAAGAGAGCAAAAGGUACCAAUUUAAACCAACAAAUAGACCAUGCAUGCAUUAAUGCAUACACAUGUCUGCAGGUUAUUUUGUACUUCCUUGUCUUGGUGACGAAAAAAAUAAUGACACCAACACAGACGCAUGUCGAACACAGCUAGAUGAUUAAUUGGCUACUUACACCCAUACAUAUGAACAAAGUUCUUAAUACGGCGGAAAAAAACAUAUCCAUGCAUGAUAAUAAUCUUUUGACCUAUGUCUGAAAAGACCAGCACAGAUCCUCUGACUUGAUGCCUUGUGACUUUGAGUUGCUGUCAUGUGGGGCUCACAGCUGGAGGGCGCAGCCCACCUGCAAGUGACUCAAGUCACGCGGUACCAAGUCAGACAGGUGCCUGAAAAGACACAUAACAACUGCACAAGACUCUAGAAGAUGAUCAGUACACUUACCUGAAAUUUUUUAACUCCGGUUUUAUAUAUGUAUUUAUUUGUUUUUCUAAAAAAAUCUAAUCAUGAUCGGAGCAAAUUAGACAAACAAAUUCCACACUUCAUGGAUUAUGACCUUUGUUGUGCUGGCGAAGGAAACAUUGCUUUAUUCGUUUGGUGGCUGCAUUGGAAUUGGAAACCCGCGAGUAUUGAGGUAGCACCGAUUUGGACGCUUCCUUGAAAAGAAAAAAAAUAUCACCAAAUUGAAUGAGUGAACUGAAGUUGCAUGCACAUUAGGAUCAUUAGACCUUGGUGAAAUUUAAUCCAGGUUUUAUGCCAUCAUGCUCCAUCUAGAUAUAGCGAUGACCGCGACUGCUUACUCGAUCGGCUUCGCUUUUCAUGGUGUGGCCGUGAUCUGUGAUUCAGAGGUGUUGGUAGUUCUUUAAACCAC
rnacentral:lncRNA from 1 species